AUUACUGCUAUUGGAGUUUGACUAAGCCAUGCGAGUCAGAGGUCAUUAUGAUACUGGCAAAAGGCUGAGUAACACGAAGUCAACCUGCCCUUAAGUCAGGCAUAUCCUUGGGAAACUGAGGUUAAUUCCUGAUAGGAAAUAUUCUCUGGAAUGAAAUAUUUCCGAAAGUUACGACGCUUAAGGAUGGGACUGCGGUGGAUUAGGUUGUUGUUAAGGUAACGGCUUAACAAGCCUGUAAUCCACAGGGGCUGUGAGAGCAGAAGCCCCCAGAUGGAUUCUGAGACACGAAUCCAGACCCUACGGGGUGCAGCAGGCGCGAAACCUCCACAAUGCACUAUAUGUGUGAUGGGGAGACUCCAAGUGGUAGCAUAACGCUAUCUUUUGAAAAGUUAAAACAUCUUUUCGAAUAAGUGGUGGGUAAGACGGUUGCCAGCCGCCGCGGUAAUAACCGCGCCACAAGUGGUAAUCUCGAUUAUUGGGUCUAAAGCAUCCGUAGCCGGUGCUAUAAGUUUUCUGUGAAAUCCAAAUGAAAACAUUUGGGCGUGCAGGAAAUACUGUAGCACUUGAGAUUGGGAGGAGCAAGAGGUACUCGAGGGGAAGGGGUAAAAUCCGUUAAUCCCUCGGGGGUCACCAGUGGCGAAGGCGUCUUGCUAUAACAAGUCUGACGGUGAGGGAUGAAAGCCAGGGGAGCGAAGAGGAUUAGAUACCCUUGUAGUCCUGGCUGUAAACGAUGUCCGUUAGGUAUUGUAGUUUUUAAGAGAAACUUCAGUGCCGUAGGGAAGCCGUUAAGCGGACCACCUGGGGAGUACGGUCGCAAGGCUGAAACUUAAAGGAAUUGGCGGGGGAGCACACAAGGGGUGACGUCUACGGUUCAAUUGGAGUCAACGCCGGA
rnacentral:rRNA from 1 species